ensembl:lncRNA
GGCCCUUGCAGGGGGCUGUUAGAGCAUAAAACUGAGGAAAAAAACCUUAAAGAAAUGUCAAUGAAGAAUUGCAACCGAAUUUCUCGCCCAGAAGAAUAAAUACAUGUGUUUCAAUUGCUUAUACAAGCUUCCAUUGCGACCUUGCCACAGAAAGGUCAGGAAUGAGGAGAUACAAACAUCUUGUCUGAUGAAAGGUGCAUUUUGCAAGGCUUGACAAAUGCAGUUCUCACCCCUGCCGGUGUUUUAUGUGUGCUUUAAAUAUUGAAGAAAUGAGAAAAACCCAGGCAAGACUGGUGUUCAGAGGAUACUAUUGCCAUGCCACAGGAGGAUAAAGGAACACCAAAUCAGACAGAAGAAAGCAGCUGCUUUUUGUAUUAUCAUCAGAUCUGGCAGCAAUUCAUAAAGUGGUUGCAUAACAAUCUCCAUUCUAAGUCCCUUUUUACUUAGCUGUAACUAUACCUAACUUCAUGAGCUGUUUGUUUCAGGCUGAGUCGCUUUGGAGGAACUGGAAAUACUGUCAAGCCUGGAAAAAAUCAUGCUUUCAGAAACUGUAACAUAAAUUGGUUCCUUCCUUGCCCCAAAAUACAAUGUUGUUGGAGAAAAGCUAACAUCGAAAAUGUUGGUUUCUGUUUAUUUAUUUUUAAUUCUCCUUGCCUUUCUCUGUGCGUAAGCUAGCAGAAAAUGCAGGUUCUUAGCUUGUGUUAAACUAGUGCUUGAGAUAAAGCUAAAUCCAUCCUUCCUUCCUUCCUUCCUUCCUCCCUCCCUCGCUUCCUUCCUUCCUUCCUUCCUUCCUUCCUUCCUUCCUUCCUUCCUUCCUUCCUUCCUUCCUUCCUUCCUUCCUUCCUUCCUUCCUUCCCUCCUUCCUUCCCUCCUUCCUUCCCUCCUUCCUUCCCUCCUUCC